UACGUAGGGCGCAAGCGUUGUCCGGAAUUAUUGGGCGUAAAGAGCUCGUAGGCGGUUUGUCGCGUCUGUCGUGAAAGCCCACGGCUUAACUGUGGGUCUGCGGUGGAUACGGGCAGACUAGAGGCAGGUAGGGGAGAAUGGAAUUCCCGGUGUAGCGGUGAAAUGCGCAGAUAUCGGGAGGAACACCGGUGGCGAAGGCGGUUCUCUGGGCAUUACCUGACGCUCAUGCACGAAAGCGUGGGGAGCAAACAGG
rnacentral:rRNA from 1 species